AUGUGCAUUGCAAUGCAGAGAUUAAAAGAUUAUUUAGCCCUACUAAUCAUAUAUUUGUCAUAUAGAUCAAUUUUCCUACCAAAGAAAAUACUAUGCACACCCGCAAAUGGUGAUUUCACUUGCAAAAUCAAACAGCAAAAUCAUUAUUAUUUGCUCAAAAUCAGACCAAAUAAAAGGCCAGUUCAUAACAAAGUGCAGAAUAUAAAUAUAAGUGUUUCAAAAUAA